rnacentral:rRNA from 1 species
UACGUAGGGGGCAAGCGUUGUCCGGAUUUAUUGGGCGUAAGGAGCGUGUAGGCGGUUAGGUAGGUCCGUUGUGAAAACUCGAGGCUCAACCUCGAGACGCCGAUGGAAACCAUCUAACUAGAGUCCGGAAGAGGCGAGUGGAAUUCUUGGUGUAGCGGUGAAAUGCGCAGAUAUCAGGAGGAACACCAAUGGCGAAGGCAGCUCGCUGGGACGGUACUGACGCUGAGACGCGAAAGCGUGGGGAGCAAACAGG